GUAACAUAGUUGAAAUGGUUCAGGUUAAAUCCUGCUAAAAUGCACCAUCUGCUGGUAAAACGGGGUAUUGCAUUCACCCUAGAAAGAGCGGGGUAUUAUGGGUAAUCCUCAGAGCCAUGAGGAUCACUGUCGAGGAGUUUCUUUCAUGCCAGAGACUGACUUUACCUCGGUGCCCAUGUGUGAAAUGCAGGUAUGUUUUACUAAAUCUCUGUAGCAGAUGGCUAAUAUAAGGCCAUUUUAUAUUAAUAGUUUUAUAUAGAUAUGGUUAAUGUUUUUGCAUUGUUCCAAGAUGCAGUUCGUAUAAGCUAAAAUAUAAAAAUGGCAUCUAGUAAAUUAAAUGUCAGCAUUUUAUUUUAUUUUUCAGAGCAUUUUAAUUAAUUGUGUUACUUUCUUUAAAAAGGACACUCACUGGUUGUUCCGUUGAUGCAAACCAAAUCCACUAUACGAUCACUGUAAUUUUCAAUUAUUUUAUUUUGGUUACUGUAUUAUGGGUAAUCCUCAGAGCCAUGAGGAUCACUGUCGAGGAGUUUCUUUCAUGCCAGAGACUGACUUUACCUCGGUGCCCAUGUGUGAAAUGCAGGUGGAGAAAUAAAGAAAACAACUGAUGCCA